rnacentral:lncRNA from 1 species
GCGCUGUGCUGAGUACUUUACGAGCCCUCAAACUUUACAGGUCGGUUACAUGAGUUUAUCAAGUCACCCAGCGAGUUAAAUGACUUAGUGGGAAUUUGAAGCCAAGUAUCCCUGAGUGUGAGCGGUUAAACGUUAUGUUAGUGGUCACCUUGGAAUCAGAAGUCCAGAUCCAUCUACAAAACAGUGUUUGUUUGAGGACUGUAUUUUUCACGUUGCCCUGUGACUGACACACAGUAGGCACUUGGUAAAUAAUGGUGAAAUGAAUGGGUAUCUGAAGAAACGAUUAACAGAACCACCCAUGAUUUUAGAGAAAACGGCCCCAACCACUGCUCCUUCUAAGAGGACUAUUUUAAUAAAAUCUCUAGCUGUUUUGUGACUGUUUGCAGAUAACAGGAAACUCUUAUUCAAAAAUACAUUAACUUCCCACUCCACCCCUCCCCCCAACCAAUCAGCCUGGCAGCAUUUGAACUUGCUGGGGCAUAUACCCAAAGCAGCUUUUACUUGAUCUCAGCCAUUUCCCCCCACCCUUCUCUUUAGGCUUCUGCUCAGGAUCAGGCAUAUCUGAACAUAUCACAGGAAAGGAGGACCACAUAAGGAACACCAUGAUCGUGCAUCUGUGCAGCUUGUUCCAGAGUCCCAGCCCUCACCAGCUGUGAGGUCACAUCUCUUGGAAAGCAGUCAUCUACCUCAACCAAAAGCUUGGAGAUGGCUUGGCAGUAGGACCACAUCUGCCAUUUGAACAGCCUACUGUUGGUGCUGUGGGCUGUCUGGCUCCUUCCAGUGGUCCAAGAGAAGAUGCGAUUUUUAAAAAUGCGUAUAUUCAGGUUAUCAGGAAAGUAAGAAUGGAUAAAUGGCGCUACCGAUGUUUGGACCCCGUAGGGCGGAAGAUGUCCCUCCAACCUUGGAACAGAUUCCUAGGAUUAGAAAUAAGAAACUGGACAUACCAGAGCUAUGAAAGCUUUGAGAAAUUUCAAUUUGGAGAUAUGUAGGGAACCAUACCUGAGACUGAAGGUAUGUGAGCCUGGGCUUUUAAUCACCAGCAUAAUUACAUAAUUACUCACAAUCUUUUCACAUAUUUAAGACAUUCUUAGCUUAUGACCUCAUCUGUCUGAUGGUCCUUAGGUGACUCCAGUAUUGAGGUUUCUGGGCAUGAACUACGCUUCCUGGAAUCCCAGGUCAGCACUUAGUGCCUUGCUGACACUCACAAAAUACUAAUAAUCCUCCUGAAAGUAAAAACAUAUGCAGUCUGUUUGGAAAAAUCUUCUCCUCCCUGUCAAGUAUGUUAGAUAAUCAAAAUAAUUUAUGGCUUGUCUGUUUAACCAU